rnacentral:lncRNA from 1 species
UGGAAAAGCAACACUCCUGAGUCCUUUUGAAAAAAUCACCCAACAACAAAAUUCAGCCACUUAAAAGAGGAGUCCAGAUAAAGAACUAAUGGUGGAGAAACCACAGGAAAGGGGCAGGUUCUGAGCAUUGGAGCCGCACAAAUAUCAACCAGGACUAAGUUGGCCUAUGUGAAGUGCACUUUAGAGAUUAAGGAGCCACGAGGACUGCGUGCUACAUGGUAUCCUACACUGGAUCCUGGAAGAGGAAAAGAAAAUCCAAAAAAAAGUCUGUAAUUUAGUUACUAAUAUUGC